GGAGUCGCAUUCCUAUUCGACUUUCAAUGGGGAAUAGGAAUGCCCCAAUACCCCUAAAUCCAAUCCCUAGUCUCUUUUAGUAUUGAAAUUAUAUUCUAAUGCAGAUCAUGAACCAAACAAGUUAGGAGAUAUGACUAUUCUGAUUCUCAUUCCAAUCUAUUCCAACUCCGAUUACGAUUGUAAACCAAAUGCACUCUAAAU
rnacentral:lncRNA from 1 species